rnacentral:rRNA from 1 species
GAUGAACGCUGGCGGCGUGCCUAAUACAUGCAAGUCGAGCGAACAGACGAGGAGCUUGCUCCUCUGACGUUAGCGGCGGACGGGUGAGUAACACGUGGAUAACCUACCUAUAAGACUGGGAUAACUUCGGGAAACCGGAGCUAAUACCGGAUAAUAUAUCGAACCGCAUGGUUCAAUAGUGAAAGACGGUUUUGCUGUCACUUAUAGAUGGUUCCGCGCCGCAUUAGCUAGUUGGUAAGGUAACGGCUUACCAAGGCAACGAUGCGUAGCCGACCUGAGAGGGUGAUCGGCCACACUGGAACUGAGACACGGUCCAGACUCCUACGGGAGGCAGCAGUAGGGAAUCUUCCGCAAUGGGCGAAAGCCUGACGGAGCAACGCCGCGUGAGUGAUGAAGGUCUUCGGAUCGUAAAACUCUGUUAUUAGGGAAGAACAAAUGUGUAAGUAACUAUGCACGUCUUGACGGUACCUAAUCAGAAAGCCACGGCUAACUACGUG